GUUAGUAGAUAGUGAAUUGUCGUACAUCGUUGACGACUAACGUCAAAUCGAAUACGUAAAAUCGUUUAUUAUAUUAAUCCUUUGCUGUGUUUACAAUUAAGUUUUUUUAUUUAUGUGCUAUCGAAUUUCUUCAGUGAGAUCGUUUAUGAAAUCAUAUUUUGCUCGAACAGGCCGAUUUAAUUUUCUGUUUUCGUGUAGUGCAUUCAUUUUUCGCAUGCAAGAUCACUGUACUGUGUCAAUGUGAAACUUAUACUACAUAUGCUGCAUUUACACUGACGUUCCUUUAUUGGAAGACUGCUUCGUUUUCGAGCGGAUUUAUACCGUGGAGGAAGGAAUAUGUGGCCGCGAUACAUCGAGGCGAUAUAUUAUCGAGAUUGCCAGGAAGCUUGGUACCGUGGCAUCUAUCACCACUGACAUAGAUCCACGACGAUCUUCGUGCAUUAUCGAGCAACGGAACUCUACUUCACGUUUUCUAAAGAGAAUAAUCUGGACAGUGUGCAGCGUGAGUUUGAAGCAAUUGGAUCGUUACUCCUCGCAUCGAGAGAAGCUACAAAAUGAGUGUCAGCGAGGAGCAUUUACGACAAUGUAUACUAUACGAGUUUAAAAAGGGCAGCACAACUAUGGAUAUUGUUAAGAAGUAUACAGAGAACAUGUGCUGAAUGUGAGAAAGUGUCAAAGAUGGUUCUCAAAAUUCCGGAAUGGUGUUUUCGAGCUUGCUGACGAAGCCAGGUCUGGUCGAAGAGUAACCUUCGAUGUCGAAGCAUUGAUAGUUGUAAUUGAAGCAGCACCUCAUUUGACUACCGAGGAAAUAGCAAACAUAGUAGUAGCAGUAGUAUCGUACAUCGAUAUUUACAUCAGAUUGGAGAAGCUUCUAAUGAACGAUCAAAGGUGAUAUUCUAUUUAGCAGAUGAAUAAAUCCAUUCCAAAUUCUAUUCAUCGGAUGAAUGAAUUAUGAAAUGACAGAAAAAGAUGUGUUCAUAACAGUUUCCAGGAAACAGCUUGAAACGAUUUAUACGGACCAUCAACUGCUUUCGAGCGUAUCAUUAAUUUCAAGCAUCAGGAAUUCAACUUUAAUUUAAUGAACGAAGAUCUGCAGGACGCACCAUUAAUUUUACGGAAGCUUCGACAGCAUCCGGAUGCAAAAAAAUAUGACGCUUCCUAUUUGAGCUUCACUUACUCUCACAAGUGAAUGUAGCUUUUAACAUUUGUAACAGACAUUAUAUGUACGUACAGAAAAAUUAGAAGGUAUUUUGUUGGAUCACCACUUUUCUCCUAAUAUAAUUGGCAAACGAUCAAAUACACGAAAGAUGCAGUUUAGGAAAACUUAUUCGACACGUGCUAACUUCCAGAAAGUUAGUUCCUAGUGAGUCGUACUGUGGGUAGACUCUGGUUGAGGCACGACCAGUAGUCAAGUAGCAAAUCGAAUUUAUACUGUCUCAUUGUGAAAGAUUCAUCAAAAAACGUCCCAUCCGCAGUGAUCGUCUAAUGUGAACGGUGUAAAUUCGGCUUUACUGAACUACUAGCCGUAUCCGAGCCAAUCUUAAAGCCUAGAAAACUAAGGUCAGCACUUCGUCACCUAAAUAUCGUAUACAGUGAGAGACAAAAUUAGUUGCUUUAUUGUACCAUAGAAAAUGAAAGUGAGAUAUUUUAUUAUAUAUAUUCAAUACAUUCAACACGAUUAAAUAUAUUCAAAUAUACGUAAAUGUAGAUU